CUUGAACUUUUGAAAGUUGAUCUGUUUACCUUCUGUUGAACUUAUGUCAACAGGAAGCAUUUCUUGGGUUCUGAUUCGUUGUUUUUGUGAUUAACCAGGAAUCAAAACCACGAUAGCAAACAAUCUCGGUCUCUUUCUUUCCAAGUCUCGGACGAGUUAACAGCAAGAGUUUAGAAAAUAAGUUUGUUUUCAAUACAGCGUUUCUAAAUAGGAAAAGCUAACUACAGAAGAUGUUCUAGAGUACUAGUUUCCUAUUACAGGAUCGAACCUCAAGUCUUCAGUGACGCAUCUAAACUAAGGAAACCAAGAUGACGGAGAGAACCUCGUUGGCUUCGAGAUGCUUGAUAGCAACGAAUGGCCCUCACGAAUGAUUCCGGUUCUCAAGACGCAAAAGAAGUUCAUUUAUGUAUGGCCGGAGCCGAGUCACUGAUAAGGAUAAAGAAAAUGCUGCAGGAUACAUAAAUCUAGUCAACGUCACCCUGGCAUUAUUAAAUGAAACUGUUGUAGAUGUUCAAUCAAUAUGCUUGCCUGGCAGCUGAAGGCUUAGUUGUCUGGAAUUGCCCUCCAACAGAAUUGCAAAUGCCACUUAAACCGACUUUUAUAGCUAGCUACUA
rnacentral:lncRNA from 1 species